AAGUCGAACGGUGCCUUCGGACAUAGUGGCGCACGGGUGCGUAACACGUAUGCAACCUACCUUACAUUGGGGGAUAGCCUUUCGAAAGGGAGAUUAAUACCGCAUAAGACAGUAAAUGGGCAUCCAUUAGCUGUUAAAGAUUUAUCGAUGUAAGUUGGGCAUGCGACCAAUUAGUUAGUUGGCGAGGUAAUGGCUCACCAAGACUAUGAUUGGUAGGGGAACUGAGAGGUCAAUCCCCCACACUGGCACUGAGAUACGGGCCAGACUCCUACGGGAGGCAGCAGUAGGGAAUAUUGGGCAAUGGACGCAAGUCUGACCCAGCCAUGCCGCGUGCAGGAUGAAGGCGUUAUGCGUCGUAAACUGCUUUUAUACAGGAAGAAACGACUCUUGCGAGAGGCAUUGACGGUACUGUAUGAAUAAGCACCGGCUAACUCCGUGCCAGCAGCCGCGGUAAUACGGAGGGUGCAAGCGUUGUCCGGAUUUAUUGGGUUUAAAGGGUGCGCAGGUGGUUUAUUAAGUCAGUGGUGAAAGACGGUCGCUCAACGAUUGCAGUGCCAUUGAAACUAGUAGACUUGAGUAAAGUAGAGGUGGGCGGAAUUGAUAGUGUAGCGGUGAAAUGCAUAGAUAUUAUCAAGAACUCCAAUUGCGAAGGCAGCUCACUUGGCUUUUACUGACACUCAUGCACGAAAGUGUGGGUAUCAAACAGGAUUAGAUACCCUGGUAGUCCACACUGUAAACGAUGAUACUAGGUGUCGGCCGAUCUGGUCGGUGCACAGCGAA
rnacentral:rRNA from 1 species